rnacentral:rRNA from 1 species
CGGCUUAUAGCUUUCGUAGGUGACCUGAGGAGGAUCAUUA